rnacentral:lncRNA from 1 species
CUCUUCUCUUUCAGCACAAGAGAGGACCCCAGGCCUCCCUGUGGGGGCCGUCGCUGGCAUCGUGACUGGGGUCCUGGUCGGGGUGGCUCUGGUGGCUGCUCUGGGGUGUUUCCUGCUCCACACAAGAACUGGAAGGUACCCAGGCUUCCCCCACCUGAUCCCACCCCAGGUGACCCCAGGCCUGAGGGAAGGAGACCCAUCCUCAGACUCUGGCCUGACUCCGACCUCCUGACUCCCCGAGGACCCUCCCCCUCAUUCCCCAGGCUCCACACUCACCAGCUGCUGGCCCUGGGCUGCUGCCUCAACAGCUCCCUCCUCUGUGCACUGGUCACUAGGGACCUAUCUCUGUUGCAUUCC